ensembl:lncRNA
ACCCAGAUGGGUAACUCUAACAGGAAUGGCAGUGCUUUAGGAUUUGAUGUUCACGAAGAAAGUGGAAUUCCUGAGCAAUGCAGAGGAAGGUAAUGGGGAUAAUAAGGCAAAGCAAGGAGAGCAGCUGGGGGAAGUGAGGGAAAGGCUGAAAGGAAAAGAACAGGCAGCAUGCAGGGCACCUUAUAGUGCAGUAAUGAGCUCUAGGAGCACUAUAUUGUGCCACUCUGUGUAGUGGAUAACCAUCUAUGUGUAUACGUUCCCUUUGCCUGUCUGCGCAACCAGCAGCCGCACAGCAAAGGCGGCUUCCGGGGCACUGCUGGAAAUGCCUCGGAGCGGUUCUCGCACCUCCCGACAGCGCUGCGGCUCUGCUGCCACCUGCUGGACGCCGGUCGGUACUGCAGGCACUGCCCCAGCAAGGGUCCCUGGUGUAUUCCAGGCACCGGAGACGUGCAGUGGUUUCUCCUGGGGCUCCUCAGUGUUCUCUAGGCUGCUCUAGAUGCUUCCCAGAGCGUCCUAGAGGCCUCUCAAGAGCCAACCUAUGUGCUCAGAGAAACGCUAGUGUGCUUCCAGAGCUCCUGUAUGUGUUCUCAGGAGGGUUCCAAGUGUGCCCUAGAUGCCUCCAAGAUGCCCCCAGCAUAAUCUGAGGAAUCCUGGAGUACUCCCAGAGCUCCUCAGUGUUCACUAGGAUGCUGUAGAAGUCUCACAUUGUGCCCUAGAGGCUUUCAAGGACACCCCAGUGGACCCCCUCAGCCCCGGCGCUGAGCCAAUCGGAUGCCGCGAUAGGCGCAGGGGUGGCUGAGAGCCAAACCGGUCCGUUCCCGGCACUGAGCGCUCCCCUGAUCUGAGUAGCGAGCGUAAAUCCAUGCAAGUACCACUUGCUUUGGUGCAUGCGCACUGCUGCCGGAGGACCAGUCACCAUAGAGCGGUGGUUUCUCUGUGCAGAGCAGCUAGAAGUCAGACGUCACUUCCGGCUUCCUGUGCACACGCGUCUUACUGCCUGGAGGCUCAAACACCAUAGAAGUUGGCGGACUCGAGGCGCAGAGCGGCUACAUGCAAAUUACGGAUGCGCUGAGCCAAUCGGCGGCCGCGCGGAGGCAGCGAUGAGUUAAAGCGGUACUUUUCAUAGGAGGUGUGGAAGAAAUGUGAGAAAGAGGUGUCUUAGAUGAGAGGAGACGACUGGACUAUGUGGAUCAAGGGAGAAGAGUUGAGUUGUGUGUUCUAGAAUACAAAAGUGACUUUGUUGUACAGUUUCAUCGGCCUGAUGAUUCUCUGCUGGAAAUCAGUGGAUGACUCAAAGCAAAGACAAAAGGCAGCCAAGUGUCAGACAGCAAAAGACAACACCGUUUUUCUUUCUUCAUGACAGCUGGGAUGAACAUUUGCAAGAUACGGAUCCAAAUGUUUCUGUACGUAAAACUGUUUGUCACCUGGUGAUCAGCUAUGCCUGUUUGUUACCAUGACCAAACAGUGAGUCCUCAUUUUGAUUCAUCAAGAACUUUGCCCUUUGUUGUGAACUAAAGUACUACUAAAACCUGACAGAGCAAGAACUAAGUUGUUCAAAAGGAUACUGAGUCAUGGUGCAGGAAACACUGAUUAUUAUGCCCAACUUGUUUUCACAUACAUGUGUGCAUGUGCAUAAUAGGUAGAUGUAAGCUCAUUGCUUGCCUUGCAAGGAACUGCUGUAUUUUGUAAGACACAUAGCAAGCAACUUCUCUUAUAUAGCAAGCAUAAUAAGUAAACUUCCCUUUGGUUUCAAUUUCUACAUCCAAAAUAUUUACAGGGACUAUUGAAAUCUGUCUAUCAACUCCUAGGCAAGGCCCUAGACAUUUUUCUAGCUGUUGCGUAAGAAACAACAAAUCUCAGUUUAUGUGGUGCAUGAGAGCUGGCACUGAUUUUCCUAGGAAGCACUGCAACUGUUCUGGUUUGGGCUGCGUUAGAGUUAAUUUUUCAUAGUGAGUGGUAUAUGUCCCUUAAAGAUAAUGCCUUUUCACAGUAUCUGUCUUAUUUUUAAAAGCAUUAAUUAAGAGGAAAGGCAGACAGCAGUAAAAGUAUGUCCACAAUUAACAUAGGAAAAUACUAAGCUCAUGUAAAAUGACUGUAGCGUGCUUUCUGUUGCUUUAUGAUGGAAAACAGAUCUGUACUAUCUGCACACAAAAAGGAGGAAAGCAUUAUUUAAAGUCUCUAAUAGCAUAUUAAGCUGGAGGAAAUUUUAAAUGAUUAGCCUAAUUAGUCUACUUCUUAACAAGGAUCAAGUAAGUUACUAAUGUAGAAAUGAGUAAGGCAGAAGGUUUGUACCUUCUAAGAAGCAUGGCUGCCCUUUAAGCUGCCAUCUGAAUCCACAGUCUCUCCUCUUAGAAUAAGGAAGUUAAGAUCUGGCACUGCUUCAGUUCAAUAAAAAACAAAAUAAUUUGGAUCUUGAUCCCCAAUUUAUCCUGUAGCUAUCUGAGAAAUUCUUUCCUUAUUAACAGAGAAAGAAGGAAGUAACUGUAGAAACUGCUUUAAGGCAGCUGCCUAGAAUUUUUCGUGGUAAUGAGCUCUGUUCAUAGACUUUAAAAAGUUUAAUUAAAUACAGAUGAAUGACAUUUCCUACUUUCGUAAAACUAUAGAUCGGCAUUUGUAAGAGCUCAUGAAGGCAUCCAGUCCUUGUCCUAAUUAGCCACGGUAGUUUAAAGCAAAAAAAAGUAGUGCUGGAGGGGGGGGAGGGGAUCUACUGUUGAUUUAUCAAUUAUGGUAUUUUCUAUUAUACCAAAAUGAUGCAGAAAGGCUUUGAAAUCCAUCAUCCCAAUGCCAGUUUCUGCAGUUAUGAAAAAAAUGCCUAUACUGACAACAAAGUCCAUUUCAUGCUCUUGUAUUCCACUUGACCUUCUAUCUUCUCAGUUUAAGGAUUGUGGCCUGAGGCCACCGCCGUGUCAGUCACCCACAUGUUAACUCUGGCAACAAACCAAGUAUUGAAUUCUUGCAGAAACGCCGAAAAGAUCGUUAGAAAAAAAGAAAAGCUUAUGUGUACAUACAUACUAUGAAGAGCAUUUGAGUGAGCAAACCCAGAAGGUGGGUUUGAGGACGGACCGGGCUGCAAGCUUCCAACCUGCGUAGUACAGAAGGACUCUCAGCAACUGGCCCAAGAGGAAACUGAAGAUGACUUGGUCCUGUGCUGUAGUAACAACACUUCACUGCUUUGGAAAAACAAUAAAAAGAAGAAAGAAAAAAGAAAGCAUUGAGAGUUCCAACACCAUAAAAAGAUAAGAAACAGAAUGUAUUUUGAGUGAAAGUGGAAAAGUCUUGUGUUACGCAACACAGUCAUGCAGAAAUCUCCAAAACAGCUAAGACUAAUGGCCAAGGAAGUCAUAUUUUCCUGCCAUUACUAAGACUGCACAAGGUAAUUUGCCCCUCUGCAAGGACAUCCACGUGUAACUGUUAGUAACACCAGCAGCCACGAGAUAUGGAUAUGAUCAUCAAGUCUUACUAAAACAAAUGCUGAAUACCAUGAACCUUUCAGGAGGAAAAGGCAAGUGUCAAUGUGGAAUGCGGUAAGAACUUUCUUGUUUCUGGUAGCAUUGGGUAUGUGACUGCUAUCCCUCUUCUUAUUCCAUCUAUUUCCACUUUUUACAAAAAAAAAAAAAAAAAAAAAAAAAAAAAAACACUGGAAUAUUAAGUUAAUAUUAAGUUAAACGUGGUAUGUUUCAACCUUGCAUUGCAGAUAAGGAAUUCCUGGAGUUCCUGAAUCCUGCGUGAUUGCAGGCAGCUCAGCUGAGUGUGCAUAAGGGAAAGGGGAACAAAAAUAUAAGAUUUUUCUGUUUCCUACCAAUUAUCUGAUAUUUCCCCUCUACUGUCUUUGGUGUAAAAGAAAACCAAAGUUCAGCCUUCUAGGAAAUGUAUUCUGGUAACCUGAAAGACUUUAUAAAUAGAGUGCACAAAUAGAUGACAGUACUUCCAUGACAUAGAUUUUCUGCUUUAGAAUGAAAUGCUUCAUUUGAAAAAGCUCCUAAAAUUGUUAGAACAGUAAUUUAAAAAAAAAAAAAAAGUUUAAACUCCACAAUUGAAUACAAAAAACGUUGCUGUGAAGGUUUUGAUUUCCAAGAAAUCCAUUUUAAACGUAUUUACAAAGUUUACAUAGAAGAAUAGAUCUGCUGCUAUCUAUAACAUUCACUUCUGUAGUAGAACAGCUAAUUUGCGACUAUUGGAUGAGAGAUACAGAAAGAGUCACUUUAGUGAAAGAAAAAAAAAACAUAUUAUUUUAAGGACAAAUAGUAAAAAAUGAUUGUUUUGGAGUUUAGAGACACAGAGUUUGAAGGAUUUUGCCCUCCGAUGCAGACUGCUCAUGCUUAUGCUGUAGCAAAGGAGGAGCAUCUUGACUACAAGAGUCUUAGUGGAAGAAAACUGGCAAUGCCUUUAUAAAAAUGUAUUUAAUUUCUGUGUUUGCAGUUUUCCCAGCUUCAUCCCUAGGUCCUGGCCUCAAGGGCCCUAGAGAUGUCACAGUUUUAAACAGUCUUAUAAAUCUAGGAGGGGAAAUGAGCUGUCUCUCAUCUUAAACAGAGAGCCUUGGAGAAUGUCUAUGGGGCUUUACCAAUGGAGCUGCCGAAAACAAAGCUAUGAUUCAGGGGUCUCUGACCUUUCCCAGCCCUCCUCCACCAGUGUCAGCCUGCAGCCUGCUCUUUAAAAGUUUCUGCUCACCCAGGGAGCAAAAUUAGAAAUCUUCUCCAGGGACAAUUUUUCUUCCAUCAAGCCACUCAUCAGCCCACUGAGGCAUGGAAACCAAAAAGGAAAAAGUGAGUUAAAAGAAUGUAUGUCUCUUGGUAAGGAUUUCCCACAGCAGAGUGUAAGUGUCCAGACUACCUCAUCAGCAGAGUCCCAGCCUUUACUAUAGGUCUUGGUAUUCAGUCUGUACUGUAGUGGUAUAGAAAAGUGCCAAGCACUGUGCAGGUGAUGCAUGCAUCAAUACAGCAGAUGUGGAGGUGUGUUUGAACUGCUUAACAUCAGCACUUACCAAAUGUUGAAGACACUCUAGCCCCUACGACAAAUAAAAGCAUUCAUUCAGAUGUGCAUGGCAUUUCAGGAAUGGAAUCAUUAUUAUCUUCUCCGAAAAUGUUUUGUCUUAUGUUUAAUAUAAUAUAAUAUAUAUUGCUUAUUGGAAACAAAUCCUUGUUAGUCUCGUUGUUUGUUUGUUUCCUAAUUGUGGAUCACCACAGAACAGGGUACAGUUCAUAAAUACCUCAAAUAUCUGAAAGGUGAUUGCAGCAGAGCAGGGCUGGUCUCUUCUCACUGGUGGCAGGAUGAGGAGAAAUGGCCUCAGGCUGCACCAGGGGAGGUUUAGGUCGGAUAUCAGGAAGAAUUUCUUUACAGAAAGGGUUGUUAAGCUCUGGAAUGGGCUCCCCAGGGAGGUGUUGAGUCACCAUCCCUGGAUGUGUUUAAAAUCCAUCUGGAUGUGGUGCUCAGGGACAUGAUUUAGUGGAGGGUUGUUAGAGUUUGGGUAGUAUGGUUGGGUCUUGAUUGGACUCAAUGAUCUUUAAGGUCUUUUCCAAGCAAAUUCUAUGAUUUCCGGAGCAAUUCUAUGAUUCUGUCAUUUAAUAUGGAGAAAAUUCAAGUAAACUAAAAAUCAGAUUUAAAAGAUAACCUGGUGCAAUGUACUUUUAUUUAUUAAUUUGUUUAUUUUUAUUCCCCAGGCCUUUUUAAAGUUAACCCUAGAAAACACCCCAUGUUGGCGACUCCUUGUAAUUCAUGUCAAUGUUCUUUCAGCAGCACAGUUGCUGCUUCCACGCCGUGAGCAUCUCCUGUAUUUGCUUUAGAACUGCUUCCUGCUGAUGCGUUAAGCACAGGAAGUGAAAGGUUGGUCCCAAAAUGUCUUCUGA